UGGGUUAAUACCCUGAGUAGAUGACGGUACCCGAAUAAGAAGCACCGGCUAACUACGUGCCAGCAGCCGCGGUAAUACGUAGNNNNNNNNNNUGGGGAAGAAAUUGCAUGGGUUAAUACCCUGUGUAGAUGACGGUACCUGGAGAAGAAGCACCGGCUAACUACGUGCCAGCAGCCGCGGUAAUACGUAGGGUGCGAGCGUUAAUCGGAAUUACUGGGCGUAAAGCGUGCGCAGGCGGUUGGGUAAGACAGGCGUGAAAUCCCCGGGCUCAACCUGGGAAUGGCGCUUGUGACUGCAAGGCUGGAGUGCGGCAGAGGGGGAUGGAAUUCCGCGUGUAGCAGUGAAAUGCGUAGAUAUGCGGAGGAACACCGAUGGCGAAGGCAAUCCCCUGGGCCUGCACUGACGCUCAUGCACGAAAGCGUGGGGAGCAAACAGGAUUAGAUACCCUGGUAGUCCACGCCCUAAACGAUGUCAACUGGUUGUUGGGUCUUUGCUGACUCAGUAACGAAGCUAACGCGUGAAGUUGACCGCCUGGGGAGUACGGCCGCAAGGUUNNNNNNNNNNUCAGAUGUGAAAUCCCCGGGCUCAACCUGGGAACUGCAUUUGAGACUGCCCAGCUGGAGUUUGGCAGAGGGGGGUGGAAUUCCACGUGUAGCAGUGAAAUGCGUAGAGAUGUGGAGGAACACCGAUGGCGAAGGCAGCCCCCUGGGCCAAUACUGACGCUCAUGCACGAAAGCGUGGGGAGCAAACAGGAUUAGAUACCCUGGUAGUCCACGCCCUAAACGAUGUCAACUAGGUGUUGGGAGGGUUAAACCUUUUAGUGCCGUAGCUAACGCGUGAAGUUGACCGCCUGGGGAGUACGGCCGCAAGGCUAAAACUCAAAGGAAUUGACGGGGACCCGCACAAGCGGUGGAUGAUGUGGAUUAAUUCGAUGCAACGCGAAAAACCUUACCUACCCUUGACAUGUCAGGAAUCCUGGAGAGAUUCGGGAGUGCUCGCAAGAGAACCUGAACACAGGUGCUGCAUGGCUGUCGUCAGCUCGUGUCGUGAGAUGUUGGGUUAAGUCCCGCAACGAGCGCAACCCUUGUCAUUAAUUGCCAUCAUUGAGUUGGGCACUUUAAUGAGACUGCCGGUGACAAACCGGAGGAAGGUGGGGAUGACGUCNNNNNNNNNNGUUGCUACGAAAGGGCACUCUAAUGAGACUGCCGGUGACAAACCGGAGGAAGGUGGGGAUGACGUCAAGUCCUCAUGGCCCUUAUGGGUAGGGCUUCACACGUCAUACAAUGGUCGGUUCAGAGGGUUGCCAACCCGCGAGGGGGAGCCAAUCUCAGAAAGCCGAUCGUAGUCCGGAUCGCAGUCUGCAACUCGACUGCGUGAAGUCGGAAUCGCUAGUAAUCGCGGAUCAGCAUGUCGCGGUGAAUACGUUCCCGGGUCUUGUACACACCGCCCGUCACACCAUGGGAGCGGGUUCUGCCAGAAGUAGUUAGCCUAACCGCAAGGAGGGCGAUUACCACGGCAGGGUUCGUGACUGGGGUGAAGUCGUAACAAGGUAGCCGUAGGGGAACCUGCGGCUG
rnacentral:rRNA from 1 species